CUUGAGCCCCGGAGGCCCUGGUGGCCUUCAGGCCCCUGUUCUGCGGCCCCCUUGAGUUCGGCCCCGCCGGCGCGGCCCCGGGGCAGGCCGGGAGCGUCCCCGCGCGGUGCACCCCGGGAGGCGCCACGGCGGGUGGGCGCAGGGCCCCGGAAAUGUGCUCUCGUCUGAAAGCUGGGGGAGGGGGGGCCCUGCGUGAAACCCCCACCUCAUCACUAGUCCACACUCGGGGAGAAGGCGGGGAGGAGGGUGGCCCGAACGCCUACCCCAGGCCCGGCUCUGAGGCAGGCUCGUCGCCCUGUAGGGUCCCACCGGCGCGCUCCUCGCGCCCUUUUCCGUGGGCGACCCGAGGGCGGAGGCUUGGGUCUCAAAUGCGGAACCUCCGUCUCCUGGAAUCAGAUCUGGCUUCCAGAGGAUGUUAAGACUUUUCCUUUCUGAGAAAGUCAGCGCCUGGAGGAGACCCAAGGCCCGGGCCCUUCUUCCCCUCAGCCGUAUCUGUCCGUCCGUAGAAAAGUGCAGUCUCAUGGGGGAACGUAUAGAAGGUGACACAUGGAGAUACUAAUGAUGGUGCCGACUGCAGUGUCAAACUGAAUGAGAAAAAAGCAGGAAAAAGGUUCGUUCAUUUCAAAUUCACAUCUGCCUUGUCUGGGUUGCAGUUUCAGGGAAAAUGUGGAAGCGGUGGCCAUUAAUUCCUUGAGGCCAGAGAACAUUACCUGACAGAUUGCUGCUCAGAUAUCUCUCCUUUCAUCCAUGUUGAUGUAUUUGAAGAAAAAAAUCCCUUGAGUCUGGUCACCUGAGCUUUCUACACUGCUGGAAUAUUCCUUUGAAUAGCAGGGCAGGAAAUCUUCCUAUAAAGUAUUACAAUCUUUCCUUCAGAACUGCUAUGAAGAAUCUUUAGGGGUGCUUUGUUAAUUAAUCUGACCAGUUUCAGAGGGAAAUCACAGACAUUCUGGGCACAUGGCUCAAAUACCAUAAUUAAAUUCUUUUUCAGAUUUAAAUGUAAAGAUGGAGGUAGUGAUGACUGCUGUUAAGAAAAAUGAGGCAAGUAGCUUGGAAAAGGCAGUUCUUCAUUUCCAACUGUAUUCCAAGGAGCUUUGCGAAACUUACAGGGCCAAGGGAAUUCCUUAAUUGGAAGAAACUAUUGGGGGGAUUGAACAGGAAAAUAUAUUUAGAAUUUUGAGUUGUAAAGAGACUAUCUCAUGCUCCAGUUCUACUCAACCCAGUUUCAGCUGGGCACCAUAUGAAGCACGUCCUUCUCAUUAUAAGGGUAACUUACCUAGACAGCUGGUUCAGUUUAUCUUAUAAAAACAUCUUCAUGAAGCAAACAUUUUGAAAUUGUGCUAUAUUAUCACUGACCUAAUCCCAGUGUUUUUCAAACUUCUUGUAGCAGUAGAAUCCCUUCUUAUGAAUAAAAUGUUACACGGGGUCUCAAAACACGAAAUAAAUAAAGGCAAACUGCUUUGAUUGAAGCUAAGCUAGGAGUGGGGGCCCAACUCACCCUCCUCAUCAGCAGUUUCCCUUCCCCACCUCAAGUGGUCCCUAAGGCACAGCAAUGGCACUUUAGGAUUCUGUGGGGUCUAGUUUGAAAAUCACUGGCCUAAACUAUUUGGUCAUUAAGAGCAUCAAUAAAUAUAUCUUUCAAUAGUAUUUAUCAGUUGUAUACUGUAUUCCAGGCACUGUGCUGAGUGGUGAUAGGGAGACUAUGGUGAAUAAGUCAGGGCCAGCCUCAAAUUAUGUAGACUUUAAUCAUAGAGAAAUUUAUGGUAUCAAAUGACUGUAAGUCCAGAACUAGAGUGGCUAUGGAAGGCAGUAUAAUGGCUGCCCAAAGGUGUCCAAGUCCUCCUUCCUGAAACAUGUGACUAUGUUACAUUACAUGACAAAGGGGAAUUAAAGUUGCUAAUCAGCUGACCUUAAAAUAGGGAGAUUAUCCUGGGUUAUCUGGAUGAGUCCAAUGUAAUCACAAGAGUCUUUAACUGUAGAAGAGGGAGGCAAAAGAGGGGUCAGAGUCAGAGAAAGAGACAUGAUGAUGGAGCAAAAGUCAGAGUGAAUCAAUGUGAGAAGGACUCAAACUACCAUUGCUGGCUUUGAAGAUGGAAGAAGACCAGAAGCCAAGGAAUCUGGGCAGCCUCUAGGAUCUUGAAAAGAUAAAGAAAUGGAUUUUCCCUACAUUGCUAGAAAGGGAUACAUCCCUGCUGACACCUUGAUUUUUCCUCAGUAAAACCCAUUUUGGACCUCUGUUCUCUAGAACUUUAAGAUAAUAAUUUUUUGUUUGUUUGUUUAAGCUAUCAAAUUUGUAGUAAUUUGUUGUAGCAGCAAUAGAAAAUGAAUAUAGUAGUUGUCAGAGUUUGUUAAUUCAGCAACUCAAAAAGUCAUCAAUGGCAUAAACAUAGACAUAUAGACUAAUAGAAUGAAAUUGAGAUUCCAGAGGUAAGCCCAUAUAUUUAUGGCCAAUCGAUUUUUGACAUGGGUGCAAACUCCAUUCAAUUGAGAAAGAAUAUUCUUGCGACAACUGGAUUUCCACAUGCAAAGGAACGAAAUUGGACCCCUACCUCACACCAUAUACAAAAGUUAGCUUAAGAUGGGUCAACAACCUAAAUAUAAGAGCUAAAGCCAUAAAACUCUUAGAAGAAAACAUAGGGAUAAUCUUCACACUCUUGAAUUUGGCACCAAAAGUAAGAGUAACAAAAAGAAAAAUAAAUUAGACCUCAUCAAAAUUAAAAACUUUUGUACAUCAAAGAACAUUGUCAAGAAAAUGACAACCUACAAAAUAUUUGUAAAUCAUAUCUAUGAUAAAAGUCUAUAUCCAGAAUAUAUAAAGGACUCCUACAACUCAACAACAAAAAGACAAUCUAAUUAAAAUAUGGACAAAGACUUGAAUAGACAUUUCUCUAAAGAAGAGAUAUAAAUAACCAACAAGUACAUGAAAGAUGCUCAGCAUCAUUAGGCAUUAGGGAAAUGCAAACCAAAACUACAGUGAAAUACCACUUCACACCUACUCGGAUGGCUAUAAUAAUUUUUUAAAAUGAAAAUAAUGAAUAUUGGCAAAUAUGUGGACAAAUGGAAACCCUCAUAUGUUGCUGGUGGGAACGUAAAAUGCAGCUGCUGUGGAAAAGUGUUUGACUGUUCCUCAAAAGCUAGGCAUAGAAUUACCAUGAGCCAGCAGUUCCACUCCUAGGUAUAUAAUCAAAAGAAUGGAAAGCAGGGACUCAGAUACUUGUACAUCAAUUUUCCUUGCAUUAUUAUUCACAAAAGCCAAAAGGUGCUAUUGGGGAAGUGGGAGAAUUCCCCCCCUUUCUCUUAAGGUUCUUAUCACUGGUCAAAUAAUUAAAAAAGGAAGGUUAGCAGGAGAAAAUCAAACAAAAUUUAAUAGCAUGUACACAUGGGAGAAACUCAGGAGAAACCGAGUGACUCACCCAUCUGGCCGAGGCUGCUGUUUAAUCAUCUUCAGCUACAGACAAGGAGGACAUUUAGGGUAGUGAUUUAGGGCUUCAAAGGGGAGGAAGGCAAUUCACAUAGAAAUGGAAAAGCAAAUGUUUGGUAAAUAGAACUUUGAUAAGAGUGAGCUUAGCAAGGAUCCUCCCAGUGUACGGAAACCCAGAGGUAUCUAUGGGAUUGCCUGUCCUGGGAAUAGGCCUUUAUUUUAACUUUUUUUUAGGCAGUUAGUGGGGAAAGGUCGAAUGUUCUUCCUGAUUCUGAGCCUUUAUUGUCUUCAGGUCGGAAUAAUCCGCAUACCAGAGUGGCGCAUCUUGGGGCGGUCUGCCCUGAACCCCGUCAGUGCAAAUAAUCCAAGUGUCUAUCGACAGAUGAAUGGAUAAACAAAUGUAUACAUGUACAAUAGAAUAUUAUUCAGUAUAAAAGUAAUGAAGUUCUGAAGUAUUUUUUUCCACUAAACAUUUAUUAAGCUGUAAUUUUCACAAUAUUUUAAUUCUAUUCUGAAAUCUAU
rnacentral:lncRNA from 1 species